rnacentral:rRNA from 1 species
UACGUAGGGUGCGAGCGUUGUCCGGAAUUACUGGGCGUAAAGAGCUCGUAGGUGGUUUGUCGCGUUGUUCGUGAAAACUCACAGCUCAACUGUGGGCGUGCGGGCGAUACGGGCAGACUGGAGUACUGCAGGGGAGACUGGAAUUCCUGGUGUAGCGGUGGAAUGCGCAGAUAUCAGGAGGAGCACCGGUGGCGAAGGCGGUUCUCUGGGCAUUACCUGACGCUGAGGAGCGAAAGUGUGGGGAGCGAACAGG